rnacentral:rRNA from 1 species
GAUGAACGCUAGCGGCAGGCUUAAUACAUGCAAGUCGUGGGGCAGCAGGACUGUAGCAAUACAGUUGCUGGCGACCGGCAAACGUGUGCGGCACACGUACGCAACUUACCCUGAACUGGGGGAUAGCUCGGGGAAACCCGGAUUAAUCCCACGUAAUAUAUUGGAGUGGCAUCACUUUAUUAUUAAAGCUCUGGCGGCUCGGGAUGGGCGUGCGGCUGAUUAGUUAGUUGGUUGAGGUAACGGCUCACCAAGCCGACGAUCAGUAACUGGUGUGAGAGCAGGACCAGUCAAACGGGCACUGGGACACGAGCCCGACGCCUACGGGAAGUAGGAGUAAGGAAGAUUGGGCAAUGGAGGUAACUCUGACCCAGCCAUGCCGCGUGGAGGAUGAAGGCCCUCUGAGUUGUAAUCUUCUUUUAUAGGGGACGAAGCCUGUGUAUUCUUACGCAGUUGACGGUACCCAAGGAAUAAGCGCCGGCUAACUCCGUG